CUCGCCAGUUUCACCCAGGAUUUGGCUCGGUUCACCCGCAGCAGCCCAGCUCCCUGCUAAACUCCUAGACCUAAGCUCAAGGGCCUUCCCCGGGCCUUCCCGCUGUCUCCUCCUCCUCCUCCUCCAGAGGCUACACCCUUCCUGGAAAAGGCACUCCUACGCCGCCAGGCACCGCAGCAGGGUCGGCGGGUCCCCGGGUUCCAGCCGGAGAGUCUAGGUGAUGUUACCGCCCCCACCGCGCCUGACCCAGACCGAACCCCUAAUAUCUGCGCGGACACUGUCUAGUGUCCAAGGAGGGCACUGAAGAGUUCCAGAGGUGACAGAAGAAGAGAACUAUUCAGAAAGCAGACCAAAAGUAGGGCGGCACCACACUGCACUGUGCCCAGGGCUGGCUCUAGACCUCCAGGAAUUGCUCUUGUGGACUUAACAUUGAACUGAAGACCAAUGGGACUUGGAAUCUCCCGUGUCAUUGCCUCUGAUCCUGGCGAGCCAGUUGCCUCCCUCCCUGUACUAGCUCCUCUGACCAAGCUUCCUGGAGCUCCUGAUGUCUAGAGUGCCUUGCUGACCACGUGGAACAGGAGGAGCUGUUUCCACACUCCAGUAGAAGCCUCUAUGUGCAAAUUCUUCAUUUGUGUGAAUACUUCUCUUUUGUUAAGUACCAUUCAGCCUUCUUGAAUGAUAAUAAACAUAAC